GCGGCAGGCCUAACACAUGCAAGUCGAGCGGAUGAGUGGAGCUUGCUCCAUGAUUCANCGGCGGACGGGUGAGUAAUGCCUAGGAAUCUGCCUGGUAGUGGGGGAUAACGUUUCGAAAGGAACGCUAAUACCGCAUACGUCCUACGGGAGAAAGUGGGGGAUCUUCGGACCUCACGCUAUCAGAUGAGCCUAGGUCGGAUUAGCUAGUUGGUGGGGUAAUGGCCCACCAAGGCGACGAUCCCUAACUGGUCUGAGAGGAUGAUCAGUCACACUGGAACUGAAACACGGUCCAGACUCCUACUGGAGGCAGCAGUGGGGAAUAUUGGACAAUGGGCGAAAGCCUGAUCCAGCCAUGCCGCGUGUGUGAAGAAGGUCUUCGGAUUGUAAAGCACUUUAAGUUGGGAGGAAGGGNAGNAAGUUAAUACCUUGCUGUUUUGACGUUACCAACACAAUAANCACCGGCUAACUUCNUGNCNGCANCCNNCGGUAAUAAAAAAANAA
rnacentral:rRNA from 1 species